GACGAACGCUGGCGGCGUGCUUAACACAUGCAAGUCGAACGGUAAGGCCCUUCGGGGUACACGAGUGGCGAACGGGUGAGUAACACGUGGGUGAUCUGCCCUGCACUUCGGGAUAAGCCUGGGAAACUGGGUCUAAUACCGGAUAGGACCACUGCCUGCAUGGGUGGUGGUGGAAAGCUUUUGCGGUGUGGGAUAGGCCCGCGGCCUAUCAGCUUGUUGGUGGGGUGAUGGCCUACCAAGGCGACGACGGGUAGCCGGCCUGAGAGGGUGGCCGGCCACACUGGGACUGAGAUACGGCCCAGACUCCUACGGGAGGCAGCAGUGGGGAAUAUUGCACAAUGGGCGCAAGCCUGAUGCAGCGACGCCGCGUGAGGGAUGACGGCCUUCGGGUUGUAAACCUCUUUCAGCACCGACGAAGCGCAAGUGACGGUAGGUGCAGAAGAAGGACCGGCCAACUACGUGCCAGCCGCCGCAGUAACAC
rnacentral:rRNA from 1 species